GAGAACAGUGGAAGAGACUGAGAACAGUGGAAGUGAGUGAGAAAAGUAGAAGAGUCAGAACAGUGGAAGAGACUGAGAACAGUGGAAGUGACUGAGAACAGUGGAAGAGACAGAACAGUGGAAGUGACUGAGAACAGUGGAAGAGACAGAACAGUGGAAGUGACUGAGAACAGUAGAAGAGACAGAACAGUGGAAGUGACUGAGAACAGUAGAAGAGACAGAACAGUGGAAGUGACUGAGAACAGUAGAAGUGACUGAGAACAGUAGAAGAGACUGAGAAAUGUGGAAGUGACUGAGAACAAUGGAAGAGACUGAGAACAGUGGAAGUGACUGAGAACAGUGGAAGAGACUGAGAACACUGGAAUUGACUGAGAACAGUAGAAGAGUCAGAACAGUGGAAGAGACUGAGAACAGUGGAAGAGACUGAGAACAGUGGAAGUGACUGAGAACAGUGGAAGAGACUGAGAA
ensembl:lncRNA